AUCCUUUGGUAGUUCAUAAGUGUGAUGACUGGGUGUUCACAUUCCCGAGUGAUGUGUGCCUCCCACAAACCUAGACACAACAUCGUCACAUUACCCAUCUGACG